rnacentral:lncRNA from 13 species
GAUCUAAAGAUGGUACCAGAGAUUUUUCUCUUUGUUGCUACACUUUUACCUUUGGUAACCAUUUCUGCAAAAUAGUUGGAUCCAAACAAGUUGUCUUUGAAACAUUUUGACUAAAUUGUAUAGUGAGAAGACUUCUGCUUCCAGACAUGGUAAAGUGACAGGGACCAAAUCCUAAACAAGGCAUGAGAAAAAAACAAAGAUGGUGAGAUCUGUUGAGAUCUGUAAAGGAUACAGAGAUGGAAGAAGCAGCAACACGUGAGAGCUCUGGAGAAUGGAAUGGGGAGUACAUCACUCCACGGAAUCUCUUUGCUACUGUUUUCUUUAGAAACAACUCACAGUUGUGUGGGCUGGCAGAAGAGGAGAAAACAGUUCCUGCAUCCCAACCAGCUUUGCUCCUGGACACUGAUCGUGCUCAGAUCUUGGGAGGUGACGCUAAUUAGAAGAUACUCAUGAGGACUACAAUAAAUGCUUGCUGACUGUCUCCCA